rnacentral:lncRNA from 1 species
UUUUUUUUUUCCUGAGGAAGAUUACCCCUGAGCUAACUACUGCCAGUCCUCCUCUUUUUGCUGAGGAAGCCUGGCCCUGAGCUAACAUCCAUGCCCACCUUCCUCUACUUUAUAUGUGGAAUGCCUGCCACAGCAUGGCGUGCAACGCAGCGUGUCCGCACCCGGGAUCCAAACCGGCCAAACCAGUGAACCCCGGGCCACCGAGAAGCAGAACGUGCGAACUUAACCACUGCACCCCCAGGCAGCCCCCUUCCUAUGUUUCUAAGAUAUUUGGAAGUUACUUCUAUUAUUGCAGAAAGUCACUGUUAAAUGUAUGAAUUUCACGUCCACCCUCCCUGCUAUAGACUGAAUGUACGUGUUCCUUCAAAACUCAUAUGUGGAAACCCAAUCCCCAUGUGGUGUCAUUUGGAGGUGGGGCCUUUGGGAGAUGAUUAGGUCAUGAGGUUGGAGACCUCAUAAAUGGGAUUAGUGCCCUUUUAAAAGAGACCCCAGAGAGAUUCCUUGCUGCUUCAUCAUGUAAAGACACAACCAGGAAACGGCUGUUUAUGAAUCAGGCAGUGGUCCUCAUCAGACACUGAAUCUGUCUGCACCUGCAUCUUGGACUGUCCAGCCUCCAGAACUGUGAGGAUUAAAUGUUUAUUAUAAGCUACCCAGCCUGUGUUACUUUUGUUAUAGCAGCCCAAGCAGACUAAGCCAUUCCCUGACUAGAUUGGGACUUUCCAAAGGCAAGGAUUAAUUUAUGCAUCCUAUUAUUCCUAGUAUAUGGCAAGGUACUUUGCAGAUAGUAUAAUUAUUCCUUAAUUGAGUAAGGAAUAAUUAAUAAUAUAAUUGAGUAAAUGCAAGAAAUCAGUGACACUGAUUUUAUUUUCUCAUCUAGGAUCAGGGAAAAAGAAUAAUAUGAUAUCACAAAAUAGUUGUGAAGAUAAAAUAAAUUAGAAAAUAUAAAAUACAUUCAAGAAACUAUAAAAUAUCUUAUAUGUCUAUAUGAAUCAAUUUGCCCUACACACUGGACUUACAGUAUUGAAAGUUUAAGAAUUUCACUCAUCUAAAAACUGAAUAAGAUCACCACAUUUGACUUGUUCCAACAGUCAAAUUCAUUUAUCAAAGGCUGUGCCUUAACUACCCCACUUUAGUGACUAUACAAAAUAGAUACAUGCAGCCAGCCUUUCUCCUUAACCAUGUGAAGCCAGCUCUUAAAAUAGCAACCCAAAAGAAUAAAAAUAAAAAGAGGCUCCAUCCUAAACAGAUUAAGUUUAUUCCAAAUGGUUAUAACUCAAGCCUGCCAAGCCAUUUAUGAGUCAAUGCUCUGCUUCUCAUAUGUUCUACUCACUUUAAACAAUCACAAGUGAUUUUUUUUCUUCCUGCAGCUUCUUUGUUUCCCAAGGAUAAGUACUGAUACACCUCUUCCUCAUUAUAAAUAACCCUCAGUAAUCCAUUUUUACAGUAAUGGGCUACUUGGCUCUUUGUCUCUGGACUCCUAUAAAUCACCACUAGUGUCUGCUCCACUCCGAACUGUGAGACAAACUUUGGCCCAGAUUGUAAC